GUGCUAUGGGGUGUCCAGGUUGCCCACAGGUGCCCACACGGUGCUGCGGGUCGCCCAGACCGUGUUAUGGGAUGUCACACUGCGCAAUGGGGUGCCAAGAUCGUGUUAUGGAGUGCCCACACUGUGCUAUGGGGUGUCCAGGGUGCCCACACGGUGCUAUGGGGUGCCCACAUGGCGAUAUGGGGUGCCCACACCGUGUUAUGGGGUGCUGUUGGGUGCCCACAAGGUGCUAUGGGGUGCCCACACGGCGCUAUGGGGUGCCCCCAUGUUGCUAUGGGGCUGAGAGCUGGAGGUGUGGAUGCGUUGCGGUGCCUUCGUCCUCAAUGUGGGCUUGUUUUGCUGUUGAUAUCCCUGAAUCCGGAGCGUUUUGGUGCUAUUUUCCCCCAAAUCAAGUUGUUCUCGAUGCGUUUUGGUCUGGAUCUGGGCUGUUUCGGUGCCAUCGUGGCUGAAAUCUGCAGCGUUUCGGUAAAAUUCGGGGCAUUUUGAUGCCUUCCUUCCUAAAUCGGGGUGUUUUGGUGCCUACGUCCCCAAAUCCAGGCUGUUUUGGUGCCUUGAUGCCCCAAAUCUGGGGCAUUCUGAUGCCUUUAUCCCAAUCAUAGGGCGUUUCUAUGCUUUUAGCCCCAAAUCCAAAGCAUUUUGGUGCCCAGGUCCCCAAAUCCGAGGUGUUUCAGUGCAUUGAUGUCUGAAAUAUGAGGUUAUUGGUCCCUUUGGUCCCUAAUCUGGGCUGUUUUUGUGCCUCUGUGUCCAAAUCCGGAGCAUUUUGGUGCCCAUGUUCCUGAAUCAGGAGCAUUUUGGUGCCUAUGUCCCCAAAUCCAGAGUAUUUUAAUGCUGUUCUAUCCCAAAUCUGGGGUAUUUUGGUGCCUUUGUCCCCAGAUCUGGGGUAUCUUGUUGCCUUCCUGCCCAAAACAUGGGGCAUUUUGGUGCCUUUAUCCUAAAUUAGAGAUAUUAGUAGCUGUAUCUCCAAAAUCUAGGGGUUUUGGUGCCUUUAUGUGCGAUAUUUGGGCUGUUCUGGUGCUUUUAUCCCGCAUUUAGGGGCAUUUUUAUGCUUUUAUCCCCAAAUCGAGGAUGUUUUGAUGCCUUUAUCCCCAGAAUCUGGGGCAUUGGGGUGCCUUUCUCCCAGGUAUCAUGAAUAUUCUUGCCCACGUGGCCCAAAUUCUGGGCAUUUGGGUGUUUUUAUCCCAAAUAUUGGGAAUAUUUGUGCCAAUAUCUCCAAGAUUUGGGGCAUUUUGGUGUCUUUAUCCUAAAUCUGGGGCAUUUUGGGGCACUUUGUGUUGGUUGUUGAGGUUUAGAAGGAAUGCUCAGCUGUUUCCAGGCCAAAUUUGGGGUGUAUUGGUCGUUUCCAGCCCAUAUUUGGGGUGUUUUGGUCCUUUCCAGCCCAUAUUUGGGGUGUUUUGGUGCUUUCCAGCCCAUAUUUGGGGUAUUUUGGUCGGUUCCAGCCCAUAUUUGGGG
rnacentral:lncRNA from 1 species